CUAUUUAUUAAAGUCAUAAAUUUUAUUUAAAUUUGAUAGUAUAUUAUGUCCAUAAAUUUUUAUGUGUUUAUUUCACAUCCACUUGUUAAACCCACAUGUUAUUUAAUUGACCUUAUCUCAUCUCCUCCCACUUACAUUAUUUUAUUAGUUUAAGCUAAAUACCCCUUUAUCUUACUCAUUAAGCCAACUCUUAUCCAAAGGAUAGCUUAUACAUUAAGACUCACUCUCUAAUCUCUAAAUUAUCAUUCUCUCUUAAUUCCUAUCUAAAUUCUCGAUUGCUUCCAAUUACCAAAUUAGUUCCAAAUUUUGAUUGUCAAGACUCGGCUGAUUCCAGCUUUCCAAAUCAGUUUCCAAGAUUUCCCAAAACAAGAAAGAGAUCCAAUUUUGGUGAAUUCAGAAAGAAGAUUUUCCUCAUUUCCUACUCAUAUCAAGGUCCGAGCGACAGAAAGUGAAGCCGAAGAAGAAACGACUCCACGCCAGCUUUAAGAACUGUUUA